AUCGGCGAGUGACCAUCCAGGUGUGUCUGGCUCGGAUUCACAACCCCUUUGCUGUGCUGCACCGUAAGUCAAGCCCUCUGACAGCAUGGAGCUGUCUCCCCACUCCAGGACUCCCACAUGUCCUUCCCCCUGUCCCCCAGGACAGCUCUUCAGAGAGUUCUGUCCUCUGGACCGAGCCGAGGAAACAGGCAUCAGGGACCAGACCAGUGCUGGGAAAGCGGGACGCAGCUGGCUCCCAGGAUUCAUGGGAAUGUUGGAUCUUUCACCUCUGCCGUCUUCUCUCCCUCCUUCUUCAAGCACUGAGAGACCCGGUGAAGAGCCUGGUGUGGCCUGGCCCCUUGGGUGGACGUGAUGCUCUGGAUGUUCUGUCAUGCCCCUUCUCGGCAAGGGCUGUCCUGGCUCUUCCAGGUGAGAGUGGAGAACAUCCCAGGUGUGGAGGUUUCCAGGCAGCACUCUGAGCCUCCACGCAGGACAAGGCGUUACUGAGAUGGGACCAGACUUCCUCUGUGAGUGUGGACUGGCCAGGGUGACCAACAGACGCCAACACAGAGCUGAGUCUGACAUGGGGAUCAGCUGAGAAGAGCUUUAAAGUUGUCAUCAUAGAAGGGCUUCAAGUACAAUUUCAAAUCCUUUUGAAACUGAUGGAAAGUAGACAUGGAAAUCCUACAGACAAAGAGAAGUUAGAGGUGGGCAUUCUAAAGCGGACAGGUAUAACCAGGAAAGUAAAACCACUGUUACUGAAUGGGCUGAGUAGCAGCAUGGAGACGACAGAGGGUAGAACCACUGGACUUAGUGACAGAUCAAUAGUAUUUGCCCAUCUGCUCAAAGGAGAGAAAACAAAUGGGAAAAAAAUGGAGAGAGUGUCGGGAGAGAAAACACAGAAGGAGCAGCCCCAUGCUGCCCGGGCCCCAGAGGGGAGGAGGGGAGUGGGUGCAAACUUCCCAAAUGUGGAAACGGAGAGACAGAAACCUACAUCUUCAAAAAGGUGAGAAAACCGGAAAUGGGAGGGGUGCAUGGGAACCCAUGCCAGGACAGAUCACAUUAAACUGCUGAAAACUAGGGGAAUAAAUAAUGCUGAUGCAGGCAGAGGACGGACCUGUGUCUUCAGAGCAAAACUGUUGCUGUGACAGCAACUCCUUGUCCAGAACCAUAGGACUAGAAGGAACUGGUAUUGGCGCCAUUCUUAGUAUGCGACAAAGAUAAACAUGAACCACAAAUUCAAUGUCCAGUGAAAAUAUUCUUCAGGAUCAAGGGGUAAACAACUUCAGUUCAGUUCAGUUCAGUCGUACAGUUCAGUUCAGUCGCUCAGUCAUGUCCAACUCUUUGCGACCCCAUGAAUCGCAGCACGCCAGGCCUCCCUGUCCAUCGACUCCUAGAGUUUACUCAAACUUACAUCCAUCGAGUCCGUGAUGCCAUCCAGCCAUCUCAUCCUCUGUCGUCCCCUUUUCCUCCUGCCCCCAAUCCCUCCCAGCAUCAGAGUCUUUUCCAAUGAGUCAACUCUUUGCAUGAGGUGGCCAAAGUACUGGAGUUUCAGCUUUAGCAUCAUUCCUUCCAAAGAAAUCCCAGGGCUGAUCUCCUUUAGAAUGGACUGAUUGGAUCUCCUUGCAGCAACUUAGGUCUCCUCUAACACAGAUGACUGCUUGCAAACCAGACCUUGCCGAGCAGGUGGAGAGAAUGGUCUCUAAACAGCAUAGAAGUACCAGAUGGCUCAGAACAUCAGAUAGGAAAGAGAACCACUGAAAUGAGUAAAAGUGGGGCUUAAGAUAAUACUCCUUAUGAUUAAUUUCCUGAAUCUUAUUUGAUAGCACCAUCUGAUACAGUGCCAGGUAUGAAUAUGGAGGAAACACUGGGGACAACUGUUUGUUGAAAGUAUGAAGGGUAGCAGACAGACGCACAUGGAAGAGCAGAGUCUACAUGUCACUUUCAGUCGUGAAAGAUAUGCCAGGAGACAGAAGCCCUUGCGUGCACAUGAUACCUAAGCAGCGGCUUAGGUACCCAAGACGGGAGGCACUCAGAAGCACGUAAAUGCAUGAGUGGAAUCCUAGAAGGGUUCUUGCUGCUAAGUCGCUUCAAGUCGAACACGACUGAAGUGACUUAGCAGCAGAGCCCAAUUCCCUAGACCAGCCAAGCACACUUUGUGAAACACUGGAUGAGCAAACUGAUAACUCAUCACAGAUUGAUCUUUCUCUCCACCUUGAACCUGACCUUCUUCUCAAGUAAACUUGUUCAGAUGGAUAACAUGGCAAAGUGCCCUGUCCUGGGGGCCAGGGGCCAGUGGAGGACAAUGCCAAGUGGUGAUGCCCCAGCUGAGUCAUGAAGGGGAGGGGAAAGUGGGCAGCGAGAGGUGGACCAGUCUGGUUGUAGUCAGCACCUGUUACCAGAUCCCUCAGACAGGACAGAGGGGAGGAAGCGAGCAUCAGGCACUUGCUGGCUGGGAAGGUGUCCUACACUUUUCUCCACCCUGUCAGAGCAGCUAAUGAGUGGCAGGAGAGCUUGGUGGCCCCUUGCAGGGAUGGUGGGGAUGUUCUCAGCAGAGAAAGAUGUCUCCCAGUAGCCUGAUGGUGCUGCCCUGCCCAGCCUUGGGGAUGG
ensembl:lncRNA